CGGGGCGUAGCUCAGUCUGGCUAGAGCGCUACCUUGGGGUGGUAGAGGCCGCUGGUUCGAAUCCAGUCGCUCCGACCA
rnacentral:tRNA from 1 species